rnacentral:rRNA from 1 species
UACGAAGGGGGCUAGCGUUGCUCGGAAUCACUGGGCGUAAAGCGCACGUAGGCGGACUCUUAAGUCAGGGGUGAAAUCCUGGAGCUCAACUCCAGAACUGCCUUUGAUACUGGGAGCCUUGAGUUCGGGAGAGGUGAGUGGAACUGCGAGUGUAGAGGUGAAAUUCGUAGAUAUUCGCAAGAACACCAGUGGCGAAGGCGGCUCACUGGCCCGAUACUGACGCUGAGGCACGAAAGCCAGGGGAGCAAACGGG